CCGAGUUAGGGUCUUCUCAGGCCCGACCUCCCAACCCUAUGUUUACUAAAUCUAUGUUGCUUCGGCGGGCCCGUCUCACGGCCGCCGGAGGACCGUAAGACGUCCUCUGGCCCGCGCCCGCCGGUGGCCAAACUGACAAACUCUGAUAGAAACGUGUCACUGUCUGAGUACGAUUCUCAAUUAAAACA
rnacentral:misc_RNA from 1 species